rnacentral:lncRNA from 1 species
GGAUGAUGCAUCUGAGAGCUCAAUGCAAGAUGGUGAUGACGAAGAUGAAGAUGCUGUGAGUGAUGAUGAUGAUGAGGAGGAGGAGGAUGUAAUUGAAGGAGCUUGGGCUUUGCCAUCAGUACAGCUGAGUUAAAAUAUGGAGGCGCAUCACACAACUGGCAAGUACUCGCCUAAGGGGGGGUCCAUCUUUUCUGGAACUGCAACAUCCCAUCUGUUCACUUUUAUGCCUUAAUAUCCCCAAAGUCACUCUCGCCAAACGCUAAAGGGCACAUAUUUAUUGUUUUAAUUAAAGUGAAUAGGUUUGAGGAUUUUAAAAAAGAACUUUGAAGCUAUCCAAGGGCGUUCCAAAAUCAGAGAAGGGAAAGCUUACACCAGAAUGCAUCAGAGUGACAUAGCUCAUCCCAGGCUCCCUGAUUUAGGAGAAAGGGAGCAAAGAAGAAGAAAGGAAAAACUGAAAAAAGAAACAUUGAGGCUCAUGUCUUUGUUUUGUUUCUCAAAAGAUUCCAUUAGACUCAAUAUGUCAUUCUAAGUGCACCUGGAUAUAGCGCAGAUUUAGAUAACUCUCUCCUCCCCUUCUGACCUUUAUUACGACUACAAAAAUUCUGUGUGUGAGGGAUAAAUAAUGCAUGCUCUCAGCCAAGAAGGGAAAGAAGACCCAAGGAAAAAUUGCAGAAUAGGAUGGCAAACCAGGAAAACAGAGCUCAGUGUAGAAGGGAGUUGGGCAGCCUCUGUUCCUGUUUGGCUCUGUCCUUGAAGAAAGUGAUAAGAAGUGCACAGAUUUUGGAAUUAAACAGACCAUGGUUUGAAGUCUGGAUCUUCCAGUUGUAACCAGGUGGCAUUGGGGCCUAUGGUUCAUCCUGCAAUAUCAGAGAAUAUGCAACUGUUGGAAGCUCAUUUGUGCAGAAGCACUAGUUAGACCAAGUCCCAGGAUGGUGGGGACUUGAACUGCCUCAUGCACAUUGAACCCAAGAGCCUGGCCCAUGAAAGUAAAUCAGUGGAUACUUGAAUAAAGAGAAGAAUAUGCGCUGAA